rnacentral:rRNA from 1 species
AACGAACGCUGGCGGCAGGCUUAACACAUGCAAGUCGAACGCAUCCUUCGGGGUGAGUGGCAGACGGGUGAGUAACGCGUGGGAACGUGCCCUUCAGUUCGGGAUAACCCAGGGAAACUUGGGCUAAUACCGGAUACGUGCGAGAGCAGAAAGAUUUAUCGCUGAAGGAUCGGCCCGCGUCUGAUUAGCUAGUUGGUGGGGUAAUGGCCCACCAAGGCGACGAUCAGUAGCUGGUCUGCGAGGAUGAUCAGCCACAUUGGGACUGAGACACGGCCCAAACUCCUACGGGAGGCAGCAGUGGGGAAUAUUGGCCAAUGGGCGCAAGCCUGAUCCAGCCAUGCCGCGUGAGUGUUGAAGGCCUUAGGGUUGUAAAGCUCUUUCGUCCGGGACGAUAAUGACGGUACCGGAAGAAGAAGCCCCGGCUAACUUCGUGCCAGCAGCCGCCGUAA